rnacentral:rRNA from 1 species
GUGGAUUAGAUACCCUGGUAGUCCACGCCGUAAACGAUGGGUGCUAGGUGUAGGAGGUAUCGACCCCUUCUGUGCCGUAGUUAACACAAUAAGCACCCCGCCUGGGGAGUACGGCCGCAAGGUUGAAACUCAAAGGAAUUGACGGGGGCCCGCACAAGCGGUGGAGCAUGUGGUUUAAUUCGACGCAACGCGAAGAACCUUACCAGGGCUUGACAUCCUCUGACCGCAUAUGAAAGUAUGUUUUCUGGCUUCGGUCAGACAGAGAGACAGGUGGUGCAUGGUUGUCGUCAGCU